rnacentral:rRNA from 1 species
UUCCGGCCUGCCUGGAUAAAUGCAAGUCGCGCGGACCGCAAGGGAGCUUGCUCCUUUAGGUUAGCGGCGGACGGGUGAGUAACACGUGGGCAACCUGCCCUGCAGACUGGGAUAACUUCGGGAAACCGGAGCUAAUACCGGAUAACACCGAAAACCGCAUGGUUUUCGGUUGAAAGGCGGCUUUUAGCUGUCACUGCAGGAUGGGCCCGCGGCGCAUUAGCUAGUUGGUGAGGUAACGGCUCACCAAGGCGACGAUGCGUAGCCGACCUGAGAGGGUGACCGGCCACACUGGGACUGAGACACGGCCCAGACUCCUACGGGAGGCAGCAGUAGGGAAUCUUCCGCAAUGGACGAAAGUCUGACGGAGCAACGCCGCGUGAGCGAAGAAGGUCUUCGGAUCGUAAAGCUCUGUUGUCAGGGAAGAACAAGUGCCGUUCGAACAGGGCGGUACCUUGACGGUACCUGACGAGGAAGCCACGGCUAACUACGUGCCAGCAGCCGCGGUAAUACGUAGGUGGCAAGCGUUGUCCGGAAUUAUUGGGCGUAAAGCGCGCGCAGGCGGUUCCUUAAGUCUGAUGUGAAAUCUCGCGGCUCAACCGCGAGCGGCCAUUGGAAACUGGGGAACUUGAGUGCAGGAGAGGGGAGCGGAAUUCCACGUGUAGCGGUGAAAUGCGUAGAGAUGUGGAGGAACACCAGUGGCGAAGGCGGCUCUCUGGCCUGUAACUGACGCUGAGGCGCGAAAGCGUGGGGAGCGAACAGGAUUAGAUACCCUGGUAGUCCACGCCGUAAACGAUGAGUGGCUAAGUGGUUA